AUCAGUAAAGAGCGUACGCCCGCUGGCACUGACGAGUAAUAUGUGCAGACGAGCGAGGUCGCGGCCCCGGCACUCUCAGACACCCACUUCAAUCGAUGACAACCAUUUUAAGUUGCUCUGCUUCACACGAUUGUGAGCAAAUGAUUCUGAAUGAAUGGUUGUUUCUCUCGUCAAGCUCGACUGCCCACCAUCGGCAAGCACCUCACUGCUGGGGAGAUUUCUGCACAGAAGCUCAAGUAUAUCUCGCAUCCGAGCAUCAGUUGCUUCAAAUAGGAAAGUAGAGCUUGUGGUGCCAAAGCUAAUGCAGAGCUGUGCAAAGGGUAUCAUAGAGGACUCUCUGCUUGCUGACUGAAUUUGUUGUCAUCUAACACUGGACCAAGUUGCCAAAUCUGAAUGUUUAAGCAGUUGAGAAUUCCAAUCUAAGGUUAGUUAGUUCAAAUGUGUAUAUACUUUAAAUUGAUUGCUAUAUAUUUUUACUUCAAUGUUGUAUGAUCUGAAUGUUUUAGCUCAUCUCAUCAAAUUUGUAUUUUUAAUAGAAACAUGUUUAGUAUUUUAAAUUUUUAAGACUUGCUUGUCUUGUUCUUGUUCUGCUAAAAUGUGAUCGAGUGAUAAGUAAACGGAGCAAGCUAAAGAGUUGGUGGAGUACCAAGUAUUAUUUUGUUUCCUUCUAAUUGUGAUGAUGAUUUGCUAAUUAGAACAAAUUAGAGGAGUUAAAAGUUUUUGAUAUAAAAUUUAUAAGUUAAUUUUUUAUGACAGAUUGCUAAUGUAGGGAACUUCGAUGGAGAUUAUUAAGUCUCAUAAUUAAGUUAACAUUGUGCAGCACUAUUUCAGUUUCA